rnacentral:rRNA from 1 species
UACGUAGGGACCAAGCGUUGUUCGGAUUUACUGGGCGUAAAGGGCGCGUAGGCGGCUUAACAAGUCACUUGUGAAAUCUCCGGGCUUAACUCGGAACGGCCAAGUGAAACUGUCAAGCUAGAGUGCGGAAGGGGCAAUCGGAAUUCUUGGUGUAGCGGUGAAAUGCGUAGGUAUCAAGAGGAACACCUGAGGUGAAGACGGGUUGCUGGGCCGACACUGACGCUGAUGCGCGAAAGCCAGGGGAGCAAACGGG